AAGGUAGCGAAAUUCCUUGUCGGGUAAGUUCCGACCUGCACGAAUGGCGUAACGAUUUGAGCACUGUCUCAACGAGGGACUCGGUGAAAUUAUAUUAUUGGUAAAGAUACCAAUUACCCACAGAAGGACGGAAAGACCCCGUGAACCUUUACUGCAACCUGAUAUUGAAUUUUGGUACAUCUUAUGCAGGAUAGGUAGGAGGCUUUGAAACCAGGGCGUCAGCACUGGUGGAGCCAAUGGUGAGAUACUACCUCUGAUAUGCUGGAAUUCUAACUACGCACCGUUAUCCGGGCGUAAGACAGUGGCAGGCAGGCAGUUUGACUGGGGCGGUCGCCUCCUAAAUGGUAACGGAGGCGUCCAAAGGUUCCCUCAGAGUGUUUGGCAAUCACUCGAAGAGUAUAAAGGCAUAAGGGAGCUUAACUGCGAGAUUGACAAAUCAAGCAGAAACGAAAGUUGGGCUUAGUGAUCCGGCGGCUCAGUGUGGAAUGGCCGUCGCUCAACGGAUAAAAGGUACUCCGGGGAUAACAGGCUUAUCUCCCCCAAGAGUCCAUAUCGACGGGGAGGUUUGGCACCUCGAUGUCGGCUCAUCGCAUCCUGGGGCUGAAGCAGGUCCCAAGGGUUUGGCUGUUCGCCAAUUAAAGCGGUACGCGAGCUGGGUUUAGAACGUCGUGAGACAGUUCGGUCCCUAUCCUCUGUGGGCGUAGGAGAAUUGAGGAGAUUUGUCCCUAGUACGAGAGGACCGGGAUGAGCAAACCUCUAGUAUGCCAGUUGUUCUGCCAAGGGCAUUGCUGGUUAGCCAAGUUUGUAAAGGAUAAGUGCUGAAAGCAUAUAAGCACGAAGCCUACUCCAAGAAUAGUUCUCCCAUCCAUUAAUGGAGUAAGAUCCCAUGUAGAACACAUGGUUGAUAGGUUAGAAGUGUAAGCAUAGUGAUAUGUUUAGCUGACUAAUACUAAUAGAUCGAGGACUUGAUUUA
rnacentral:rRNA from 1 species